ensembl:snRNA U5 U5 spliceosomal RNA
CGCUCUUGUUUCUCUUCAAAUCGUAUAAGUCUUUCGCCUUUUACUAAAGACUUCCGUGGAGAGGAACAGCAAGAGUAUAAGUGAAUUUUUUGAUGCCCGACUGUGUUGUGGGGCU